UACGAAGGGGGCUAGCGUUGUUCGGAAUCACUGGGCGUAAAGCGCACGUAGGCGGCUGUGCCAGUCAGGGGUGAAAUCCCGGAGCUCAACUUCGGAACUGCCUCUGAUACAGCACGUCUUGAGUCCGGAAGAGGUGGGUGGAAUUCCUAGUGUAGAGGUGAAAUUCGUAGAUAUUAGGAAGAACACCGGUGGCGAAGGCGGCCCACUGGUCCGGUACUGACGCUGAGGUGCGAAAGCGUGGGGAGCAAACAGG
rnacentral:rRNA from 1 species